GCACAAGCGGUGGAGCAUGUGGUUUAAUUCGAUGCAACGCGAAGAACCUUACCUGGGCUUGACAUCCCUGGAAUCCCCUGGAAACAGGGGAGUGCCCUUCGGGGAGCCAGGAGACAGGUGCUGCAUGGCUGUCGUCAGCUCGUGUCGUGAGAUGUUGGGUUAAGUCCCGCAACGAGCGCAACCCUUGUCAUUAGUUGCUACAUUCAGUUGGGCACUCUAAUGAGACUGCCGGUGACAAGCCGGAGGAAGGUGGGGAUGACGUCAAGUCCUCAUGGCCCUUAUAGGCGGGGCUACACACGUCAUACAAUGGCUGGUACAAAGGGUUGCCAACCCGCGAGGGGGAGCCAAUCCCAUAAAGCCAGUCGUAGUCCGGAUCGUAGUCUGCAACUCGACUACGUGAAGUCGGAAUCGCUAGUAAUCGUGGAUCAGAAUGUCACGGUGAAUACGUUCCCGGGUCUU
rnacentral:rRNA from 1 species